rnacentral:rRNA from 1 species
AUUGAACGCUGGCGGCAGGCCUAACACAUGCAAGUCGAGCGAGCGGCGGACGGGUGAGUAAUGCCUGGGAAACUGCCUGAUGGAGGGGGACAACUACUGGAAACGGUAGCUAAUACCGCAUACCAUCGGAUGUGCCCAGAUGGGAUUAGCUAGUAGGUGGGGUAAAGGCUUACCUAGGCGACGUACCCUAGCUGGUCUGAGAGGAUGAACAGCCACACUGGAACUGAGACACGGUCCAGACUCCUACGGGAGGCAGCAGUGGGGAAUAUUGCACAAUGGGCGCAAGCCUGAUGCAGCCAUGCCGCGUGGAUGAAGAAGGCCUUCGGGUUGUAAAGUACUUUCAGCGGGGAGGCGUUACCCGCAGAGGAAGCACCGGCUAACUCCGUGCCAGCCGCCGCGGUAAUAC